CAAAGCUAUGUGCAAAAUAUCCACUCAAUCGUUUAGGUGGAACUAUGUAAAAAUUGCAAUGUUUUACAAGCCAACGUAUGAAAUUAGAUAUAAUAACGCAAUAAAAUUCAAGGACAAACUAGUCGCAGACGAAACGAAUACUACUUUUUGUAGAUUCAAUUUAAUGUUUUGCCCUUCCGCUUGUUACUUUCUUCGAUUCCGGGCAAGGUAUAUUUUGUAUGCGUUCCGUUACAUCGACCUCUUCCUCGGCCUGGGACUGGUUUGGAGAAAUGUUAGCACCCCACUCAUCACGAGCCACACCGACUCUGGCCGCCGCAACCGAAGGACUUCCCAACUUUCUUACUUUCAUCAAAUAGAUAACAUGAAGUACUGGCUACUAUGUUUAUGUGCGCUAACGGUGGUGGCAUCCUGCACGGCACAGCAAUACCAACAAUUUGUGAAUCGUUAUGACAACUUUAAUGCUGACUCCAUUAUACAGAACGAGAGAAUCCUGCUCGCUUAUUACAAGUGCGUCAUGGAAAAAGGUCCUUGUACCAAGGAUGGCAAGAACUUCAAACGGGUAUUACCAGAAACAUUGACAACAGCAUGCGGGCGUUGUUCUCCCCAACAAAAGACUGUGGUUCGCAAGCUACUCCUCGGUAUAAGAGCCAAGAGCGAACCCCGGUUUCUUGAACUUCUCGACAAAUAUGAUCCGACGCAAGCAAAUCGGGAGGCACUUUAUGGUUUCUUAGUAACGGGAAAUUAGGAUUAAGUAAACUAAGUAUUGUUAGUGAAUAGAAAUAUCAAAUAAUUGCAUUUAAAGUCAAAAGCGUCAUCUGUACAUAUAACGUUAUAAACCAGGUCAGAGAGCGCCUUUUAUACAAACAAUUAUACCUAAUUACUAUGAAAUUACACACUCAAUAACUGUAAUAAAAAAAAGUUAAUUAUAUUUAACGCUUUGAUCAUAUUUAUUAAGUAUUAGGUUUUGAUCCAAUGAUAAAGUAUUAUAUUAAGUAAAAACAAUUGUAAUAUUCCUAGAGCUUAAGGAUAAUUGUUCAAUAUAAUCUUGAAUAGUAAUUUUAUUGUUGUUAUAUUAUGCCACAGUGACAAGGACAUAUUGGCUGGACCAAUAAUUAACACAUAUAUGCAUUCUGCUUGCCUUUCCGAGAAUUACUAUAAAUUGCAGUAAUAUAUAAGCAGGAUCGAUCUAUUUCUAAUCGUAUUGAUUCUAACGCAUGCGUAAGGAACAGUGUUAUCUUUAUCAAAUAUGAAGUUAAUCAUUUUACUCUUAUGCUUUACGGCCUAUGUCAUAGCUGAAGAUAAAUAUGACUCUUCUAAUGAUGAAAUUGACCUCUCUGAAGUAUUGGGAAAUGACAGACUUAUAAUUUCAUAUUCUAAGUGUCUAAUAAAUAAAGGACCAUGUACUCCGGAAGUCAAAAAACUUAAAGAUAAACUACCUGAAGCUUUGGAAACACGUUGUGCAAAAUGUACCGAUAAGCAGAAGAAAAUGGGCAAGCAGUUAGUUAAUGAAUUAAAAACCAAACAUCCUGAAAUCUGGAAGGAGCUUGUAGCUCAUUACGAUCCAGAUGGAAAACUUAAGGAAGCAUUCGCAGAAUUUCUUAAAUCGUAAAAUUAAAACACGAACAAAAA